AUGGCUCGUGCUACUCGCCUACUUGCCUUCUUCAUCCAGAUACAACUCUACUCACUAGCCACAUCUACCUCCCACGGCCAUGGUAACACAUCAGCUGCUUUUUACUGCCGUCCAGACCAGGCUGCAGCACUUCUCCAACUAAAGCAGUCCUUCAUCUUCGACUACUCCACUACCACCCUGCCGUCGUGGCAACCUGGUACCGACUGCUGCCUCUGGGAGGGCAUCGGCUGCCAUGGUGUAUCUGGCAGCCGCAACAGCAGCAGUGUCACAGUUCUUGACCUCGGCGGCGGUGGCCUCUACAGCUAUGGCUGCCAUGCCGCGCUCUUCAACCUCACCUCCCUACGCUACCUCGACCUCAGCAUGAACGAUUUUGGUGGAUCUCGCAUUCCGGCAGAUGGCUUCGAGAGGCUAUCCAAGCUCACUCACCUCAACCUUUCUUAUUCAGGCUUCUACGGUCAGAUUCCUAUCGCCAUCGGCAAACUCACAAGCCUCGUAUCAUUGGACCUUUCUUCAGUGCAUAAUAUUGAAUCAGCUGAAAUCACAAAUCUUUAUGCUAUCAUGGAUGGCUACAACCUUUUGGUGUUACGAGAGCCCAGCUUUGAGACCUUACUGGCAAACCUCAACAAUCUGAGGGAGUUGUACCUUGAUGGAGUGGACAUAUCUAGUAGCGGAGAGGAGUGGAGCAGUGCUCUAGGUAAAGCUGUCCCCCGUCUUCAGGUUCUUAGCAUGGCGUACUGCAAACUCAAUGGUCCAAUCCACUCUUCUCUGUCAAGUCUUAGAUCCCUUACUGUGGUCAACCUCAAGCUUAAUGAUGGAAUUUCUGGUGCGGUACCUGAAUUCUUCACGGACUUUCUCAAUUUAAGUGUUCUUCAACUCAGCUAUAACAACUUCAGUGGUUGGUUUCCUCAGACAAUAUUUCAACUCAAGAAUAUAAGAGUCCUUGAUGUGUCACACAACGAACAACUGUCAGGGCAUUUACCAGAAUUUCCAAGUGGGGCUUCUUUGGAGACUUUGAAUCUACAGUACACUAAUUUCUCUGGUGUCAGGCUGAGCUCUUUUAGCAAUCUUCUGUCUCUGAGUGAGCUAGGUCUUGAAGGAGGGUCAAUUUCUAUGGAGCCGAAUGAUUUAUUUCUCAACAAGCUCAACUCCUUGCAAAAUUUGCAGCUCUCUUUUGCUCAAUUUUCGGGAGAGUUAGCACCAUUUUUCUCAUGGAUUAGUAGCCUUAAGAACUUGACAAGCUUGCAACUCUCUGAUUGCUAUUCCUCCAAGAUAAUGCCCCCUUUGAUUGGCAACCUCACCAACUUGACAAGUUUGGAGAUGACUUUCUGUGGUUUCUUUGGGCAAAUAUCACCAUCAAUUGGGAACCUCAACAAGUUGACUUCCUUGAGAAUCUCUGAUUGUGCCUUCUCUGGGACAAUACCAUCUUCAAUUGGCAAUCUCAAGAAACUAAGAAGAUUGGAAAUUUCUUAUAGUGAAUUAUCAGGUCCAUUAACAACAGAUUUUGGACAUCUCAGCAAUUUGACGGUAUUAGUACUAACAGGCUGCAGGUUUUCUGGCAGAAUACCAAGUACAAUUGUGAACUUGACUCAGCUGAUUUAUCUGGAUCUUUCGCAGAAUGAUCUCAGAGGAGAGAUUCCAACAUAUCUAUUCACUUUGCCAGCCAUGUUACAGUUGGAGCUUUCAUCAAACCAGCUUUCUGGACCAAUACAAGAGUUUGAUACUCUAUAUUCACAUAUGAUAAUUGUUUCUUUGGGUCAAAAUCAAAUUAGCGGACAGAUUCCUGGAUCAUUCUUUCAACUCACAAGUUUGAUAGAGCUGGAUCUUAGCUCGAACAACUUAACAGGUUUGGUAGAACUGAAUUCACUUUGGAAGUUACGAAAGCUUUAUUUCUUGGAUCUAUCAAACAACAGGUUAUCCGUCUUGGAUGGAGAAGGCAAUAAAUCAACAGUGCCCUUACUACCUAAGCUCUCAAUAUUAGUACUGGUGUCUUGCAACUUGACAACAAUGCCUAGAUUCUUGAUGCAUAUCAACCAUAUCCAUACACUGGACCUUUCGAACAACAUAAUGCAGGGUACUAUACCCCAAUGGAUAUGGGAGACGUGGGAUGAUAGCCUUACACAAUUAGAUCUUUCAAACAACAUGUUCACACAUAUGCAACUCACUUCAUAUCUACUCCCAUACAGUCGUUUGGAUUCUCUUGAUCUCAGCUCCAAUAGACUUCAAGGCCAGGCCCCGAUGCCAAAUCUGUUGAAAGCAGUGGAUUACUCAAACAAUAGAUUCUCUUCUAUUAUGCCAAAUUUCACUGCUUAUCUUUCGCAAACUGUGUAUCUCAAGUUGUCAAAAAAUAACAUAAGUGGGCAUAUACCGGAUUCAGUUUGUGAUGCAAGCAACCUCAAAGUCCUUGACUUGUCAUACAACAACUUCAGUGGGUUAAUACUCUCCUGCCUGAUAGAAGGUAGAAGCUUGGUCGUAUUAAAUUUGAGGGAGAAUCAUUUUAAGGGAACAUUGUCUGAUAAUGUUAGUGACCACUGUAAUCUCCAGACAAUAGAUUUACAUGGCAACAAUAUUCAAGGGCAGCUUCCUAGGUCUCUUUCCAACUGCGCUGGCUUGGGGAUUCUUGACAUUGGAAACAAUCGGAUGGUUGGUACUUUCCCAUUUUGGCUGGGUAGGCUCUCUGAUCUUCGUAUCAUCGUUCUGGGAUCCAACCUGUUCUAUGGCUCGCUUACUUAUCCUGCCAGAGAUAGAAAAUCCAGGGAAUACUUCUCAAAGUUACAAAUCAUUGAUAUAGCUUCAAACAAUUUCUCUGGCAAUUUGGACCCACAAUGGUUUGAGAGGUUCGCAUCUAUGAUGGCAAAGUUCAAUGACACGGGAAAUAUCUUAAGCCAUCAGACAGAUUAUAGAGACUACCAUGAUACUGUUGCAAUCACAUACAAAGGGCAAUAUGUGACUUUUGAAGAGGUCUUGACUACCUUAACCUCAAUUGACUUCUCAAAUAAUGCACUGGAGGGUGACAUUCCCGAAUCAGUUGGAAGUCUAGUUUCACUACACAUAUUGAACAUGUCCCACAAUGCAUUUAAAGGAAGGAUUCCAGCACAAAUUGGUGAGAUGCGUCAACUGGAAUCGCUAGACCUAUCAUGGAACAAGCUUUCUGGGGAGAUUCCACAAGAGCUAACAAAUUUAACAUUUCUUGGCACCCUGGACUUGUCUGGAAAUAGGCUGGAUGGAAGGAUACCACAGUCACGUCAGUUUGCAACAUUUGAGAUCAACUCAUAUGAAGGGAAUGCGGGGCUUUGUGGACCACCUUUGUCCAAGCCAUGUGGCGAUUCUAGUAAUCCAAAUGAGGCGCCAUUAAACACAUCCGGAGAUCAUGUGGACAUUGUUUUGUUUCUCUUUGUUGGGGUGGGCUUUGGCGUUGGAUUCACAGCAGGUAUUCUGAUGAAAUGGAGGGAAAUAGGCAAAUGGUUGCGGAUUGCGUGA
rnacentral:rRNA from 1 species